rnacentral:rRNA from 1 species
CCUACGGGAGGCUGCAGUGAGGCAUAUUGGUCAAUGGCCGGAAGGCUGAACCAGCCAUGCCGCGUGAAGGUCAGUGCCCUAUGGGCGUUAAACUUCUUUUGUGCGGGAGCAAUCAUGGUCACGUGUGGCCAGACGAGAGUUCCGUACGAAUAAGCAUCGGCUCACUCCGUGCCAGCAGCCGCGGUAAUACGGGGGGUGCAAGCGUUAUUCGGAUUUAUUGGGUUUAAAGGGUGCGUAGGCUGUGGGGUCAGUCAGCGGUGAAAUGCCCCCGCUCAAAGGGGUGAAGUGCCAUUGAUACUGCCUAGCUGGAAUGCGGAUGCCGUGGGAGGAAUGUGUGGUGUAGCGGUGAAAUGCAUAGAUAUCACACAGAACACCGAUUGCGAAGGCAUCUCACGAAUCCGCGAUUGACGCUGAUGCACGAAAGCGUGGGUAUCAAACAGGAUUAGAUACCCGUGUAGUC